rnacentral:rRNA from 1 species
GAUGAACGCUGACAGAAUGCUUAACACAUGCAAGUCGAUGGGGAAGUGGUGCUUGCACCAUGGUAACCAUGGCGGACGGGUGAGUAACGCGUAAGGAACUUGCCUGCGGGACUGGGAUAACAGCAGGAAACUGCUGAUAAUACCGGAUAAGGUCAUUAAGCUGCAUAGCUUAGUGAUGAAAGGAGACGCCUGCGGAGAGCCUUGCGUCCUAUUAGCUAGUUGGGGGGGUAACGGCCCACCAAGGCGAAGAUAGGUAGCCGGCCUGAGAGGGUGGACGGCCACAAGGGGACUGAGAUGCGGCCGUUACUACUACGGGAGGCAGCGGUGGAGAAUAUUGGACAAAGGGGGCGACCGUGAUCCAGCAAUUCUGUGUGCACGAAGACGGUUUUCGGAUUGUAAAGUGGUUUCAGCAGGGAAGAAGGAAGUGACGGUACCUGCAGAAGAAGCGACGGCUAAAUACGUG